CAAAGCAACCGAAUAGAAAAUACGAGAAAACAGAGAGAGGAGAGUACAGUGCAGUCAAAGCCUCCAUACUUAAUUCUUGGCGGUUCAGUUUCUCCGGAAAUGGAAAACCAAAUCGCAAACGGUGCUGGUAAAGCUGUAAGAGCCUCCGCUCUCAAUUGUAUCGAUCUCUCAAGCUCCGAUAUACACCAAUCUGUCUCCUUACUGAAACAGGCCAGUUUGGAUUGCGGUUUUUUCUACGUGGUAAAUCAUGGGGUAAGCGAGAAGUUCAUGGACGAGGUGUUUGCACAGAGCAGGAGGCUUUUCAGCUUACCAUUGAGUGAAAAAAUGAAGCUUUUGAGGAACAAGAAUUACAGGGGAUAUACCCCUUCUCUUGAUGAGCAUCUGGACCAUGAAAACCAAGUACACGGAGAUUACAAGGAGGGGUAUUAUAUAGGAGUUGAGCUGCCUGAAGAUGACCCAGAACCGGAAAAUAAGCCAUUUUAUGGGCCUAAUGUUUGGCCUGCUCCAGAUAUGUUGCCGGGGUGGAGAGACUCCAUGGAGGAAUAUCAUAGACAAUGCUUGGAGGUGGCUAAAGCAGUUGCUAGGCUUGUAGCCCUUGCUCUUGAUCUAGACAUCCAUUUCUUUGAUAAACCAGAAAUGAUUGGCGAGGCUAUUGCAACAUUGCGGUUACUACACUAUGAUGGUCAAAUUUCCGAUCCAUCAAAUGGAAUUUUUGGAGCUGGUGCUCAUUCUGACUUUGGUUUUAUAACCCUUUUAGCAACAGAUGAUGUCGUAGGUCUCCAAAUAUGCAAGGAUAAGGAUGCUAAACCUCAAAUAUGGGAAUAUGUACCACCAAUUAAAGGAGCAUUUAUAGUGAAUCUUGGAGACAUGCUAGAACGCUGGAGCAAUGGCAUUUUCAAGUACUGCACAUCUCUUUUAGUCAUAACCCUAGUCCAACCUCCAAACUACAUAUAUGCUCAUAGAAGAUGAAUGCUGGCAAUUUCUGGAGCUGCACAAUUCAUUUUGCUCUUUAAGUCCACGCUGCAUAGAGUUGUAGGGAAUGGUCAAGACAGAUACUCUAUGGCAUACUUUAUAGAACCUAAUCACGAUUGUCUUGUUGAGUGCUUGCCUACCUGCAAAUCCGAAAAAAACCCUCCCAAGUUUCCUCCAAUCUUGUGUCGGACUUACCUGAGCCAGCGAUAUUACGAUACUCACGCUGAUUUGAAUGUCUAUGAUGAACAUACAAAAUAAGUUUGCCACCGCUCCUGCAAUUGAAGAUGAAUCCCCUUCUAAGAUAGCAUAAGAUUCAUAUGGUUUUACCAUUGUUGUAUUUGAUAAUGUGUUCCAUCAGUGCUCAAGUUGUAUUCUCAUGUAAAUCCAUAGAAUGUGUCCAAUGAAAAACAUAUCCCUGCCUCUAAAUUAAUGUACUGCAUCUGCAUAGUUGACUUCUUGGUCAAAGAAAAGGCUGUAGGAAGUCAGUCAAGGAUCAAUAAAUUUUAUUUAUUUAUUUAUAUAAGCUACAUUUACCA